rnacentral:rRNA from 1 species
GUGGGGAAUAUUGGACAAUGGGCGAAAGCCUGAUCCAGCCAUGCCGCGUGUGUGAAGAAGGUCUUCGGAUUGUAAAGCACUUUAAGUUGGGAGGAAGCGCAGUAAGUUAAUACCUUGCUGUUUUGACGUUACCGACAGAAUAAGCACCGGCUAACUUCGUGCCAGCAGCCGCGGUAAUACGAAGGGUGCAAGCGUUAAUCGGAAUUACUGGGCGUAAAGCGCGCGUAGGUGGUUUUGUAAGUUGGAGGUGAAAUCCCCGGGCUCAACCUGGGAACUGCAUCCAAAACUGCAUGACUAGAGUACGGUAGAGGGUAGUGGAAUUUCCUGUGUAGCGGUGAAAUGCGUAGAUAUAGGAAGGAACACCAGUGGCGAAGGCGACUACCUGGACUGAUACUGACACUGAGGUGCGAAAGCGUGGGGAGCAAACAGGAUUAGAUACCCUAGUAGUCC